ACUGCAACCUCCAUCUCCAGGGUUCAAACAAUUCUCCUGCUUCAGCCUCUCGAUGAAACCAACUUCAUAAAGGCUGUGGCAUUUCUUCCAAGACACUACGAUGAAGAUGACAUGAUCAGGAGACUUAGGGAAAGCUACGACUUUUCAAACACCCUAACGGCAAGUCUUAAAAUCGCAGUUCUGACAGAGAGAUUGAGAAGUUCAAGUCAAUUCCUCAUUUACCUGCUCGGUCUGCAAAGGAGUUCGAA